rnacentral:lncRNA from 1 species
AACAUGUGCUCAAAUGAGCAAAGGGCAAAAGCAAAUGAAUAAUAUGUACAAGAAUAGUAAUUUGCAUAAAUGUAAAGUGCAAGAAUUAAAUGUUAAUGGUUAAUGGUUAGUAUUAGUGUGCCAUAAGGCAAUUUAGCGCUAUGUUAAGCAAUCGUAAGUGGACUAAUGUAGUAGUCACACCUAUCUGAGGCCGGUCAAUAAAAUAUAGGCAACAAACACAAGUUAGAGAUCUUGAUUAGUGAAUCAAGCUCCUACAACUUGCCAUGCCAAAAGAAGAUGAGAA